rnacentral:lncRNA from 1 species
GGGAUGAGUUUCAAAUUUCAAAAAAUUAAAAAUUAAAAUUUUUAAAACAAAAAGAGGCUAUUUUGGUCAUUUUAUUUUUUGAGUGCUAUUUUGUGAUAAAAACUUUAAAAUGGCUAAUUGAGAGAAUUGCCCAAGUGAAAAUGAGAAUGAGAAUUGAAUCAAGAGAAGAAAUUAGAAUUUUAUCACAUCAGCUUUAUUGGAGGACAUGGUAAAGCUUGUAAGUAUCAACCAUGGAAAAUUAGUUUCAAAAUGCAUAGAAAGAGAGAGAAGAAAC